rnacentral:lncRNA from 13 species
CCGCUCCACAUAUACAGUCCCUUCACAACGUUCACAGUACAUAUUACAUUUCUGUAUAAAGUAAAUAA